rnacentral:rRNA from 1 species
UACGGAGGGUGCGAGCGUUAAUCGGAAUUACUGGGCGUAAAGCGUGCGCAGGCGGCUUUGCAAGACAGAUGUGAAAUCCCCGGGCUCAACCUGGGAAUUGCGCUUGUGACUGCAAAGCUGGAGUGCGGCAGAGGGGGAUGGAAUUCCGCGUGUAGCAGUGAAAUGCGUAGAUAUGCGGAGGAACACCGAUGGCGAAGGCAAUCCCCUGGGCCUGCACUGACGCUCAUGCACGAAAGCGUGGGGAGCAAACAGG